rnacentral:rRNA from 1 species
GACGUAGGAGGCGAGCGUUGUCCGGAUUCAUUGGGCGUAAAGAGCGCGCAGGCGGCUUGGUAAGUCGGAUGUGAAAUCCCGAGGCUCAACCUCGGGUCUGCAUCCGAUACUGCCCGGCUAGAGGUAGGUAGGGGAGAUCGGAAUUCCUGGUGUAGCGGUGAAAUGCGCAGAUAUCAGGAGGAACACCGGUGGCGAAGGCGGGUCUCUGGGCCGUAACUGACGCUGAGACGCGAAAGCGUGGGGAGCAAACAGG